UGUAGUAGUUUCUGGACUUGUUAGACUGAUUUAAAGCAAGUUAGGCUGUGGCAGAAUGCUGACCAAUGGACUGAUGGUUUGUUUUUGCUUAUGAAUUCAACGUUGUACUUGUAAGAAAUGUAUUUCUUUGUUCAAAAGAAAAGUCCCCCUUAAAGGAAUUAACUAUUUUAUGUAUUUUUAGCACCAUUGGUAUAUUUUAUAUGAUAGUCAACGGAAUUUCCAUCACCUUUAAUUUGUGUGCUUAGAAAUGACUGUUGCUUGAUACUAUCACUGCUCUUUUUGUGUCUCAGAGAUGUCUGUAGCCAAGACUGAUCUAUAUUCCCAAUUCUGAGAAUUAUUCAUAUUUACAAAUGUUUAGAAUGCUAUAAACUGGAACCUGCGUGAUAACGUUUUCUGAGAUUUCUUACCCACAGUGACACAGCAACAAGGAAAGAAAUGCGAUUACUACAGCCAACGUUCCUCCCAGAAUUCCGGUCAGCAGGGGUGCAGCGAUCCAGUAGCCCAGAUGGGAAGCGGUGUAGGUCCAGACCAGUUGGUCACCGACAGUUUUCACUAUCCCGAGGCCUUGAUUCGCCCAGGCACCUUCAAACAGAGACGGUUUACUAUUUGCACAUAAUGUCUUUAGAUCGAAGGCCCAGGCUGGCACAGUAUCGGAGGCCCGCAGGUGAGUGCUGCGUCCCAGGGGCAGGCUGAUUUGAAUGGGCCCUCGAACCUGGAGCUCCUCAUCACCUGAGUACAGCAGCACACUGACGGCAGCCACUGCCUUCAGCUCUAUGCUCCUGAACACUGCGGGUAAAGUGACAAGUAAAGGAUAUGUACAUUUAACAUUAUAUAAAUUGUGUAAAACGUGCAAAAAAUAUGAGGGUUUUUAUUUCUGUCUUCAUGGCCAAGGCAUUCAAAUUGUCCAGACUCAGGAAUAAACCAAUUAAAAAAUGUAUGAGGCCUUAUUUAUUUAGCGCUCACCUGAUUUGCUGCUGCUGAUGAUACCCGGAGUGCAGUUGGCGCAGUCUUUCGCCAGAUGGUGCUGUGGCACGGUCAGGAACGCCGACACAGAGGAGACGUUGCUCUUAUCCGAGAUGGUGAGAAGGUUCUUGGGGAAUUUCACCUUCGGCUGAGAGGAACUGUCUGUGAGGAAAAAAAUGUGACAUGAUUAAACUCAAAUCUGGGUAAUAAGGCAGAAGAUGGUUUUAAAAAAGACAGAUUAAGGGGCUGCAACUAGCGAUUAUUUUCAUUAGCGAUUAAUCUGUCAACUGAAACUUCAAACUACCCAAACUCUGUUUAUUCAGGGAAAAACUAUCAGGUUUUUUUCUUAAGAUCUUAACAUGCAAAAUGCAACUGACAAGGGAAAUUAUCGAUACGCAGUCAAAGCUCUCUCUUAACUCACCAGGUAACUUCCUGGUGAUGAGCACUGAGUCCUCGAACAACCAGACAUUCCCCUGGCUGUGAGGGAGCAGCAGCAAAGUCACCGCAGAGAAAACUGCAGGGAGAAGACCUCUCUCUCAAGCAUGAAAAAGUGAUGAGGCAAGCGAUGGCUGAAUCGCAGGGAGAAUGUAACUCGGAGAGACGGCGGCGAGGACGAGCUACACCGUUACAUGGCGCUCCACCGUUGACUCCAGCUGUCCUCCACUGUGAGCCUGACCCUGCGCAGGACCAUCAAGCACCUCCGCCGUCCUCUUCAACCGGACCAAGGAGCUCGACCUCCGUGCAGAAAGUGCACGUCUUCAAGUCAGAUCGUAAAAAAACUAGUCCUGUCGGGAAGCCUUUACUGUGUGUUAGAGAUGGUCUGAGGAAUUUACAUUUGCUUAUUAUGGUCUAGGUAGGAAAAAGUAUGUGCUCAAAAAUUCACUGAUGGCUUGUGGAUUCCAGGAUAAUAAAUCACAACAUUACAAGUUUUAUAUAACUAAAGUUUUUAAUAACCAAAAACAUCAUAGCGUGUCUCAAGAUGGAAAUCUGAUGCUGUUAAAACCACCAAGUCUUACAGUAUAUUCAACGUAAAAAUGUGGUACAGUCAGUAAGUCAAAAUGAUCAAAAUGGUCUGUGUUCUUCCACAGACCAAUAUGAAUGUUUAAAAUGUACAUAGUUGAACUUUGUGAUCAAGGUGUAACUUUGUUGUUUAGUAUAUUCUGUUACUUCCCUUUGUGUCGAAACUUUGUGAAGAAAGUUUGUCUUGGCAUACAUUCAACAAUUUUUUUUUCUUCAAAAGAAGUCUCCAUGCAAAGGAAAGAAAGUAUUGUAAUAGUAGUUUCUAAAAGAUUGUGUUUGUAACUUUUUACUAACUUUUUUCUCUGCUUUUUUCCAGAUGUACAAAGCAACAGGUCAGUAUUUGAUGUGACUCAUCACGUCAUAUACUUAACUGUUGUUUUGUACAAUGCAGAGGGGGACUGUAGUUCAAUUUUAGCGUUGUUGUUUACAGAUAAAUGUUUAGUAUAACCCCCUACUUCUCUUAUCCCCUACUUACCUUUGUCUUGAGGGGCAUCAUCACCCCUCAUCCGCAAACCUCUCGGGGCCGCCCCCGACUUCAUGACCUUCAUCUGCACACAAUAUCACAUGUUAAUAUACACCAUCACGUUCAUACAUUUGUUGUACAUCAACCAGCACUUUGAAUGUGGUCUUAGAAUAUUUCCUGAAAAUAUUAAAGUUGCACGUCCGCACCAUUAGUCGUCUAGACAGAGAAGGAUAGAAUUCUCUCAGAUGCAUUCGAUUUGGACCCAUGCAAGACUUGAACUCUCGUGCAAGAAUCAAACUCAUGUGCCAGGAUUUGCAUGCAGCUGUUCAACCAGUGAGCCAAUUAUAAGAGCUGCCCACCCACUCUAUGACUGUGCAUCGAUCUGAAGACCUAAAGUUUUUCCAUCACCUGCAAGAUUUGAACUUAACUCUAAGAGUUCAACUUAUUCACACGAAUCAGAUGUUUAACCAAGUGAGAUACUUGGACAGAUACUUCUCAAGAUCUACUCUGACUUUCUGAUUGUAUGCAUUGUUCAUGGGCCUCAAAGUAUGUGCUCAAAGAUUCACCAGCAAAAUAAAAUAUUAACUCCAAAAAAGUCAAAGCAGGUCCCAGAAUUCCUUGAUUGUUUGUGGAAUUGAUGAGAAUAAAUCCAAACGUUAAAAGUUUUAUAACCAAAGUCUUUAAAAACCAAAAACAUCAUAGCUGGUCUCAAGAUGGAAAU